ensembl:lncRNA
ACACUGACAUUGACAACAUAGGAAGAGGCAGAAAUAUCCAACAUAUUGAAUCAAAGACACUACAAGUCAGGUGACCACAGCAGGUAAUUACAGCUGAUUGUAAAUUGGCAACCUGUCUUGUACCAGAUAGACAAGCAAUAAAGAGCCUGCAAGAAAUCAGUGCUGCAUGUCUGAAGGUACAGCAAAUGCAAUGGCCAUGGGCAGGGGCAGGUUUUGUGUAGGAGCUGCUUUCGUCAUAGCAAUUUGGAUGACCGAAGUCUCUUGCGCCCCAUUUGGAGGGACCAACGGGAGAUCCAAAGAUGAGAACGACCUGGGAAAUGUUCCACAAAAUGACCUAGCUGACGUCAUUAAAAUGCAACAACUAAUUGAGGCCCUGUAUCAAGACCACUAUAUUAUAGAAGCCUCUGACCCCCUGACCACUAACAACGGGACUCAAGCCUCUGACCCUUUGGCCUCUAACAACGUGACUCAAGCCUCUGACAACCACAAACUGGCCUCCGACAUCUCUGAGAAGCCUGCUUCGAGUCAAAGCAACAACUCCAUGAUGCCCAUUCAUCACAAUCAAAAUGUUUCACAAACAUCGCUAAGCAAAGGUUGCAGGAAACACUAUAAGGCCGUUGGACUACAAUUGCUUCAGGCGAUCUCAAAUUACAAGGAUGUUAAAGAAGUAAGCCGAGAGUCGGAUCAGGUGAACGCCGAGGCAUCAUCAGGAACUGACCCCAAAGCAGUCGGGGCUGCUUUGGAUGCCAACGAUUUAGCCGCUCUGAAUAAUGUUUUAACUGGACAACAGCAUAAUGGACAAGAAACUGACUAUAACGAAUGUAUGCCUUGAUAAUAAAAACUUUUAAUUGAUACUGUACAAUGUUUUUAUUUGAGGGCUGGUUUGUAAAUCUGGACCAAGCAAUCUGUACUUGAUGCACUUAUUUCCCAUUUGACUGGUUGUGUGGGCAGAACCUGGGAGUUGUGACUUGGGACAAGCCCCUUCACUGUCUCAAGUCCCAUCUUAAAACUCACCUUUACUCUGGCUUUUAACUCCAGGUAGCGUGUUGAUGUGUUAUGUAGAUGUAUUGUGUGGGCAGUGGAUCUUUUU